rnacentral:snoRNA from 1 species
UGCCUUUAAGUGUUGCCCUUUCACUGCUUCCUUAGUGAUUGGGGUGUCAAAGAGGGCAUACAAUGAUACUUGUGGUUGUUUGUUGAAUGAGCCUCACGUAACUCCUUUAUACAAACGGCUGCAAGGACAGUC